UGGAGGUUGAAUCUAUCUCCAUUGGCUAAUGACUUAAUGAAACCUCGUAAAAGCUCAAAAGGAAGAGUUCAGAGAGUUUCCAGGACUUCCUCCUGCCAUGGACCUCUCCAGCCAACACUCGGCCAUCUCGGACAACCUCCUGCUACCUACAUCUCCAGAAAACGCACCCACACUGUGUCUGGCCUUUCUCGAUUGCACCUGUGUCAGCCCCUCCUGCUCUAGCUGAUUCCACUGCUCACCGAGUUCCUGACCUGAGAACUGGAGACAGUUGUAGAAGGCAGGAAGAAAUAAGGUUGAGCAUGUUAGACGUUUAGUUCUGACCCAGGAUGUCAGCACCUCUUCCUUAUGAGGUUGUUGUGAGGAUGAAAAGAAAGGCCGUGUGAGGAUAUAGUGAGAAGAUGCUACCUGCAAGCCGGGAAGAGAGCUCUCCCCAGAAACCAUCUCUGAUGACACUUUGGUCAUAGGCUUCUAAGCCUCCAGAACUGUGGGAAAAAUAAAUUUCUGUUGCUUAAGCCACACAGUCU